rnacentral:rRNA from 1 species
UACGUAGGGUGCGAGCGUUGUCCGGAAUUAUUGGGCGUAAAGAGCUCGUAGGCGGCUGUCCACGUCGGAUGUGAAAGCUCGGGGCUCAACCCUGAGAGGCCAUUCGAUACGGGACGGCUAGAGGUAGGUAGGGGAGAUUGGAAUUCCUGGUGUAGCGGUGAAAUGCGCAGAUAUCGGGAGGAACACCGGUGGCGAAGGCGGAUCUCUGGGCCUUACCUGACGCUGAGGUGCGAAAGCGUGGGGAGCAACAGG